rnacentral:rRNA from 1 species
CUUUGGGGUGUGACUGCGUACCUUUUGUAUAAUGGGUCAGCGACUUAUAUUCUGUAGCAAGGUUAACCGAAUAGGGGAGCCGGAGGGAAACCGAGUCUUAAUUGGGCGUUAAGUUGCAGGGUAUAGACCCGAAACCCGGUGAUCUAGCCAUGGGCAGGUUGAAGGUUGGGUAACACUAACUGGAGGACCGAACCGACUAAUGUUGAAAAAUUAGCGGAUGACCUGUGGCUGGGGGUGAAAGGCCAAUCAAACCGGGAGAUAGCUGGUUCUCCCCGAAAGCUAUUUAGGUAGCGCCUCGUGAAUUCAUCUCCGGGGGUAGAGCACUGUUUCGGCUAGGGGGCCAUCCCGGCUUACCAACCCGAUGCAAACUGCGAAUACCGGAGAAUGUUAUCACGGGAGACACACGGCGGGUGCUAACGUCCGUCGUGAAGAGGGAAACAACCCAGACCGCCAGCUAAGGUCCCAAAGUCAUGGUUAAGUGGGAAACGAUGUGGGAAGGCCCAGACAGCCAGGAUGUUGGCUUAGAAGCAGCCAUCAUUUAAAGAAAGCGUAAUAGCUCACUGGUCGAGUCGGCCUGCGCGGAAGAUGUAACGGGGCUAAACUAUGCACCGAAGCUGCGGCAGCGACACUAUGUGUUGUUGGGUAGGGGAGCGUUCUGUAAGCCUGUGAAGGUGUGUCGUGAGGCAUGCUGGAGGUAUCAGAAGUGCGAAUGCUGACAUAAGUAACGAUAAAGCGGGUGAAAAGCCCGCUCGCCGGAAGACCAAGGGUUCCUGUCCAACGUUAAUCGGGGCAGGGUGAGUCGACCCCUAAGGCGAGGCCGAAAGGCGUAGUCGAUGGGAAACGGGUUAAUAUUCCCGUACUUGGUGUUACUGCGAAGGGGGGACGGAGAAGGCUAUGUUGGCCGGGCGACGGUUGUCCCGGUUUAAGCGUGUAGGUGUGUGUUCCAGGUAAAUCCGGUUCACUUUAACACUGAGGCGUGACGACGAGGCACUACGGUGCUGAAGCAACAAAUGCCCUGCUUCCAGGAAAAGCCUCUAAGCAUCAGGUAACAUCAAAUCGUACCCCAAACCGACACAGGUGGUCAGGUAGAGAAUACCAAGGCGCUUGAGAGAACUCGGGUGAAGGAACUAGGCAAAAUGGUGCCGUAACUUCGGGAGAAGGCACGCUGACACGUAGGUGAAGUGAUUUACUCAUGGAGCUGAAGUCAGUCGAAGAUACCAGCUGGCUGCAACUGUUUAUUAAAAACACAGCACUGUGCAAACACGAAAGUGGACGUAUACGGUGUGACGCCUGCCCGGUGCCGGAAGGUUAAUUGAUGGGGUCAGCGCAAGCGAAGCUCCUGAUCGAAGCCCCGGUAAACGGCGGCCGUAACUAUAACGGUCCUAAGGUAGCGAAAUUCCUUGUCGGGUAAGUUCCGACCUGCACGAAUGGCGUAAUGAUGGCCAGGCUGUCUCCACCCGAGACUCAGUGAAAUUGAACUCGCUGUGAAGAUGCAGUGUACCCGCGGCAAGACGGAAAGACCCCGUGAACCUUUACUAUAGCUUGACACUGAACAUUGAGCCUUGAUGUGUAGGAUAGGUGGGAGGCUUUGAAGUGUGGACGCCAGUCUGCAUGGAGCCGACCUUGAAAUACCACCCUUUAAUGUUUGAUGUUCUAACGUGGACCCGUGAUCCGGGUUGCGGACAGUGUCUGGUGGGUAGUUUGACUGGGGCGGUCUCCUCCUAAAGAGUAACGGAGGAGCACGAAGGUUGGCUAAUCCUGGUCGGACAUCAGGAGGUUAGUGCAAUGGCAUAAGCCAGCUUGACUGCGAGCGUGACGGCGCGAGCAGGUGCGAAAGCAGGUCAUAGUGAUCCGGUGGUUCUGAAUGGAAGGGCCAUCGCUCAACGGAUAAAAGGUACUCCGGGGAUAACAGGCUGAUACCGCCCAAGAGUUCAUAUCGACGGCGGUGUUUGGCACCUCGAUGUCGGCUCAUCACAUCCUGGGGCUGAAGUAGGUCCCAAGGGUAUGGCUGUUCGCCAUUUAAAGUGGUACGCGAGCUGGGUUUAGAACGUCGUGAGACAGUUCGGUCCCUAUCUGCCGUGGGCGCUGGAGAACUGAGGGGGGCUGCUCCUAGUACGAGAGGACCGGAGUGGACGCAUCACUGGUGUUCGGGUUGUCAUGCCAAUGGCACUGCCCGGUAGCUAAAUGCGGAAGAGAUAAGUGCUGAAAGCAUCUAAGCACGAAACUUGCCCCGAGAUGAGUUCUCCCUGAGACUUAAAGUCUCCUGAAGGAACGUUGAAGACGACGACGUUGAUAGGCCGGGUGUGUAAGCGCAGCGAUGCGUUGAGCUAACCGGUACUAAUGAACCGUGAGGCUUAACCUUACAACGCCGAAG